rnacentral:rRNA from 1 species
GGCUCAGGAUGAACGCCAGCUACAGGCUUUAACACAUGCAAGUCGAGGGAAACGAUAUUGGAAGCUUGCUUCCGAUAGGCGUCGACCGGCGCACGGGUGAGUAACGCGUAUCCAACCUGCCCAUCACUUGGGGAUAACCUUUGCGAAAGUAAGACUAAUACCCAAUGACGUCUCUAGAAGACAUCUGAAAGAGAUUAAAGAUUUUAUCGGUGAUGGAUGGGGAUGCGUCUGAUUAGCUUGUUGGCGGGGUAACGGCCCACCAAGGCGACGAUCAGUAGGGGUUCUGAGAGGAAGGUCCCCCACAUUGGAACUGAGACACGGUCCAAACUCCUACGGGAGGCAGCAGUGAGGAAUAUUGGUCAAUGGACGAGAGUCUGAACCAGCCAAGUAGCGUGCAGGAAGACGGCCCUAUGGGUUGUAAACUGCUUUUAUAAGGGAAUAAAGUGAGUCUCGUGAGACUUUUUGCAUGUACCUUAUGAAUAAGGACCGGCUAAUUCCGUG